rnacentral:rRNA from 1 species
AUGGCAGUUGGAAACAGGGUAGAUGAACUCAAAAUAACAUUUCCUUCCACGCAUCAACUGAAACAUACCAAGCAACAGAUGGGGUCGUCUUCUUCCUUGCGGGUUCAAAAUCUCCUUCCUUUGGCGAUGAUGUUCCUCAGCCUGGUGUCGUGCCAGACCGAGCAAAAGAUGGGGUCAUCUUAUUCCUUGCGGGUUCGACGUAUUCUUCCUUUGGCGAUGAUUUUCCUCAGCCCAGUGUCAUACCCGACCAAGCAACAGAUGCGGUCAUCUUCUUCCUUGCGAGUUCGACGUCUCCUUCCUUUGGCGAUGAUGUUCCUCAGCCUGGUGUCGUGCCAGAGUUCCAGGUGA